GACGCGACAACUUUCCCCCUCAUGUUUACCGGCGGUGCUGACGGCAACGGCCACCUGCCACGGCCGCGCAGGCCGCGGCGGGGAGGCCUCGGCGGCGGGGGCAUCGGGUCUCCACCUGGACAGGGGUCAUCGACGGUGCAGCCGUACCCCGCCGCCCCGCCGUGUACCGACUAUGACAUGGCCUACUUCAAGGCCUACUCCCACAUCGGCGUCCACGAGGAAAUGCUCAAGGAUCAUGUGAGAACUAGUACUUAUAGAAAUGCUAUCAUGCAUCAUCAAGAUCUAAUUUCAGGCAAGGUCGUUUUGGAUGUGGGCUGCGGCACUGGUGUUCUUUCCAUAUUUUGUGCUUUUGCUGGUGCCACUCGGGUUUACGCCGUCGAUGCUAGUGAUAUUGCAAUACAGGCUAUGGAGAUUGUGAGAGAGAAUGAGCUAUCUGAUAAAGUUGUGGUUUUGCACGGACGAAUUGAGGAUGUAAAUAUUGAAGAAAAAGUUGAUGUAAUCGUAUCUGAAUGGAUGGGAUACAUGCUUCUAUAUGAGAGUAUGCUGGGAAGUGUAAUUUUUGCUAGGGAUAAAUGGCUUAAGCCAGGAGGUCUUAUUCUUCCAUCACAUGCAUCGCUUUACAUGGCACCUAUAACAAAUUCUCAGCGAUAUCAUGAUAGCGUUUACUUCUGGCGGGAUGUAUAUGGUAUAAAAAUGUCCUCUAUGAUGCCUCUUGCAAAACAAUGUGCAUUCAUGGAGCCAUCCGUUGAGACAAUUAGUGGAGAGAAUGUAUUGACGUGGCCAACUGUGGUGUCACAGGUGGACUGUUAUACCAUACAAGCUCAGGAGCUUGAAACCAUUACCGCCACAUUUAAAUUUACAUCAAUGUUGCAAGCUCCGUUACAUGGUUUUGCAUUUUGGUUCGAUGUUGAGUUCAACGGACCAGUUCGCCAGAAAUCCAAGAAGCUAGCAAGCCAAUCAUUGGAUGGGAACACCCAAAAUGCUAGUCCAAGCAGUAAAAAGAAAAAACCAGAUGUAUCAAUUGUUCUCUCAACUGCACCAGAAGAUACCCCUACCCACUGGCAGCAGGACCGCAAUGGGAACAACCAUAAUAUUGACUGGUACUCCUUUUGCAGACCCUAUUGUACUUAUUUGAACCUAUAGAACUAAAAAAAGACCAGAACAUUGAAGGUUCUGUUACCAUAUCUCAGAGCCUGCAACAUGCUCGCUUCCUUAACAUCUGUCUGAAAUAUUUUACUGGUGAUCAGUGGUACGUCAAAGAAUCCGUGAUGCGAUAACACGGGGAAAACUCCAACAUCGAAAUGUUCUUUCUAAAUAGAUUCCAAUCUAUUGCUGCGCAUCAUAAACCUCGCUGCCGGUCAUUGCAAUUUUGGAGCACUCUGGCUUGCAGCAGGGCGUCGUGAUCGCAAGUUGAUCAGAACGGAGUGGCAUUUGCUGUUAGGAUUUUGUAGGAAACCUCUUUGAUUGAUAUUAAAAUCCCUGUCUCCAAACUCUAGUGUUCCUUUUUUACCAAAUUGAUGUCGAACGGGACAUAGGAAAAACUACAUGUUGACCAGAGUAGUACAGGUACCCCUCCUGUUGUUUUGACAUUUUAGUUCAUAUAUCAUUUGAUUCCCUGGCA